UGGCCUUGCCUCUCACAGGACGGGCUGGCUGGGAGGGGCUGGACAGCGAGUGACCUCACCCUCGGGGCCGGGGAGGGGACGGCGUGGGCAGCAGGGGGGAAACGGGCUGGUACCAGGCUUGGGAAGAGCCCGCACAGGGGCCAGAGAGCAGCAAGGCAGAGGUGAUGGCUCAACGGGGACAGCCGUGAUCGGCGGCAGGAGGGGGAUCCUGGUGUCCCGGACAUCGCUGGGUCGUUACUUAGGCAUCUCUGGCUCUGACGUGGAAUGGCUGCUCGGGUGAGCUCAGCAUCACCCAGUGCUCACAGCCCCAUUCGAGGAAAAGCUCGUUACUGUGCUGGUACUGAUGAAGGAACUACACUUCCAGGAGGCCACCUGACUCCAAGGGCCUGCAGCCCGGUGGCCCAGCUGUACGGUGGGACGCGAGCAGAUCCCAUGGGGCUCUUCUGUCAUAAGAGCUUGACCUGUCCACGGCUGGGGGCAUCAAGAAAGCGCAAUGUGCGCACAUGAGGAAGUUCCCCUCAGUACUGGAGGAGGACGGAAUCGAGGUUGUCUGAAAAUCGGUGGAACCAGAGAACACCGUGGAAUUGAACUCAGGACCUUGCACUUGCCAGCCAGGUUCUUAUGCAGCUGAGCUACAUCCCUGGCCCCGUACUACUUCCUCAGGUGCAAUCACCUUUGAUCAGCAGGCCUGGCACGCUGGAAUUGUUGCUGUUUUUUCUCUGUGAGGUGGGCAGGUUGUCAGCCAUGGAGCAGCCACCAGGCGGCUGAGGUGUGGGUGGGUGGAGCUGCCUCGUAGGAUAAACCUGUCCUGCAUGUUGGAGACCUCUGGCGCCCCUCUAUGGAUACCACACUCUGCAUUCCAGCCUCCUCCUGGUCCUAGCAAUGUCUGCCAGGGCUUCUAUACUUCCUUUCGCUCUGGUGACAGGUUUGCAGCCCAGGGGCUCAUGAAGAGUCAGCCUAGAUGGUCAAACAGGCCACUGGGAGAUGACUACGGUUCCAUUUGUUCCCGGCCGGGAGAAAUGUUCUCGAAAUCAUUAGCAGAGUGAAAUUCCCAAGAACGCCCUUACAUGCUGUUCAUUUCCUCCAGCCGUGAUCACGCUUCCCCGAGAUGGGGCCGGGCGUCCCCGAGGACGCCCGAGGCGACUUUCUCGCUCUAUAUUGGAUCUCACAUUCUGUGGAUGAGGCCCUCACAGGCCUGGUUUCCUGUGGCAGCAGGAAAUGCUCAUUCCAGGGGUAAUAAAUCUGCGUACGACGUUGAGAUGAGCUCUUGGGGCACAGGGGCGGUGCUGAGUGAGGCCUCUGGCUGGACUCUUGCCUCACCCGAGAGUCUGGGGGGCGAGACAGUCCCUCUGCUGUGGAGAAGGGGCAGCUCAGGGGACCUCGCUGAGUGUGAGGCUGCUCGGAAGCAGGCAGUGCGUCACCUCCGGCUCCGACCUUUGGUGCAGGGAGUGUACCAUGCUAGGUGAAGCUAGAGUUCCAGGAACUGAAUUUAGAACCCACCCUACCUGGCGGAGUGCAGAGCGGGGAUUCAGGACUUCCCUAACUUCUUGGACAGAAAAAUCAGUCAUUUGCCCUGUGAGCAAUACGUGAUCCAGGAAAGUUUGGGCGGGCGGUGGGAGAAACAGUCACAGAGAUAAACUCACCCUGGAUGAGCUGCCUUCUGAGCUCAGCUUUAGGGAACCUGGCCACGAGGUCACGCAGGGGGAGGCGGUCGGUCAGCAUGGCAGCCUUGUUCCCUGGCCCUUGCGGAGGCACAGAAGGUUCAUCUGCAGGAAUGCGUGGCUCCUGGGACGAAGGAACAGCUUGAAGACACCCAGAAACCCUGGGCAAAACCCUCUCCUUUUUUAUUUUCAGGGUCUGCUUUCCCCAGCAAGGGGGUCAAAGCAUAGCCUGAGUACUUAAAUUCUAAAACUGUUGGGGAAAAGACUUGUUGCUAGUGAGAUGUUUUACGGACCGUGUACCAAGGUGGGCAAGACUCGCUGUGUCUAACUUACCUCAGAAUCCUCCCCCUGUUUCAAACACACUCCUCCCCUCCUUCGUGCCUCUUUCUGAAGCAGUUCUGGAGUCCUCUCUCCUGAGGGUCUUUACGGGGUGUGAUCAGAAACACAGUGACUGCUGCUGUGAGCCCCAGCCUCCGAAAAACUUUAUGCUGUGCCCUUGUCUACCGCAUUUAUGACGUCUGGCUCUGCCUCAAGGUCAAAAGGAUCGUGAAAGAUAAAUGUUCUGAAUCAGUUAAAAUAUCAAGGCAGCCAGGACAGCACAACUGGGACACUCAUGAAAGAGAACUUUCAGAGCUCUUUCACAAAGAGGCAAGAGCAGCGAUACCAGGGUGUUCCGAUGGAGGGGGAGGGUUUUGAGGGGGAUUCACUGUGGUGUGUCUUUUACUGUAAAAAAUUUUACAAAUUUAAACAGUCAUUGUAAUUUUGACCACACCUCAUAUUCUAUGGGUCUCUUCUACAGAAUUAGGGACUGUCUUAUUUCAAUGGGUCUUUAAAUCAUUUUAUGUAUGUAUGUAUGUAUGUAUUUAUUUUUGAGAAAGGCUCUCACUAUCCAAUUCGGGAUGAACUAGACUCACUGUGUAGCCCCACUGGCCUCAAACUCAUGGCAGUCCUCCUGCCUCAGCCUCCCGGGUGCUGGGAUUACAGAUGUGCAGCACGUCGCCCAGCUUGACUCAUUUCAGUGAUGGAGUUCUCUCAGGUAUCGUCUCAUCUGAUUCUUCUGCUUCCCCAGGGGAAAUGAAGCUUUGUUUAUGUCUUGCGCACCCAAUGUCCACUACUACAGAGCAGCCGCUGUGACACUGGAGCCAUGACAGCUCCGCCCCCUGCGGGCCGCAGCACCAUCACUCUGCACCUCUCCAGGAGACCCGCGUGGCAUUUGAAUAGACACUGGCCUUCACCGUUAGGUUCCCCUUGCAGGCUAAGCCAAGCCAGGAAGGAAUAUGAUCCCACUUCAUUUUAAAGAACUCAUUAGCACCUGUUUGCAGUACAUGGUUACGUUCACGGGGGCUGGAGCGUGCGCAAGGCACAGCCGAAUUCUUCUCACCCCCCCCCACUUCCUCCCUCCCCUCCGUCGCUUGGCCCCUCCCCACUUGCAAAGGUCUGUCUUGGGCUCUCCUUAUGCCAGGCGCCUGAGCGCCCCUCCUGGUUUUCCUGCUGUCCUGGAAUUUCGAAGCUGUUCUCCCGCAUGUUAGAAGCGGGUGCUGCUUAGGCACGAAGGCUACAGUCCUGCCCCAGACUCAAGACUACCCGGGCAGAGCCUCAGAGUCACAGAGACUCUUCGAAGGAACCCUCUGCAGCCCACUGACGAGGACAUCGCCCUCUUCUCUCCACUGUGGGCUCUCGGGGGACUUAGGCACCCUAAUAUGCUCACGUCUGCAGGCGAGGAGCAGGAGGCCCGAGCCGUGCACGCCACAGUUUUCAGCACAGGAGGUCUCACACUCUCCUGCCUUCUUCCCAGACCCGUCGUCACCAAGCCACUGCAAGCUCGGGAGACUGUGAUGGGAGGAAGACGCGCGCCCACCAUCGGGGAGGCUGGGGCUGGGGCAGGGUGAGGCUCGCCCUGCACGGAGCUGCCAGGCUGGGAGGCAGGUGCCACGGGGGCAUCUCUGGGUGGAAACACUGUCUCAUCACUGGGUUUAAAGCACUCUGAAAUCUAACUUCUGGGUGAGUGGAGAAGCUCUCCCUUCCCUUUUAUGCAUUCUCUUGAAGUGUUUCCGUUUUUACUUUAAAUGCAUUUUAGCUGAUCUAGGUAAACACAAGCUUGCGCGCGCUUGGGGCACCCUGUGGUGGUGCAGUCGGCACGCACCCUGCACGGUGCUUACGUGGGGUGAGGACGGCCCGUCAAAGGCUCAGCCUUCCCCACUGCGAACGCGUCCGGCAGCUCCUCUUGCGUCACUGCAGUCCCUGGUGGUGGUGUCGGGAAGGCAGGGACAGCUGAUGAAUGUUGGCCUGCUCUUCACGCUUUCUCUGGAAACUUCAGAAGCAGCUCAACAGCUUCACAAGAUAAAACCAGCUGCCAUGCAGGCGGCUGAUCCCGUCCACCCAGGAUCUGUGGUACAGCCUGGGGCAGGUUCGUCUAUUUCUGACGAAGUUAGGUAUGGGAGGAAGUGGACAGGAAGAGCACAGCACCGGGCUCCUGUCCUGCACACGGCACCCGCUCUGUGCUCUUGGCCUUGACAUCCAGUCUCUGCUGUUCAUGAAACGCGGGGCCUGCAAGCGCUGCCAGCCCGGGGCACCCAGCAGGGCCUGCAAGCGCUGCCAGCCCGGGGCACCCAGGAAGCCUGGCAAGCCAGAGGCGCUUGGCCAGCUCAGCGCCCUUUCUGCAACCCGCCUGUGUCCUUCCCUGCAGACCAGCUCCACGGCUGCCCCCUCACCCCUGCCUCGCCAGGUCGUUCUGAGGAACCGCACUGUCUGCUUCCCUGCAGACGCUUGCUCCUCUCUCAGGGCUAGUGGUGAAGGGAGAGGGAGAAGUUUACACACAGCGCCCAGCUGAAAAUGACUUUAGCACAGAGUUUAUUUAAUACAUCCUCCAAAUUGUAUUUUGAAGCCUCUGUUAACAAGAAAGCACUCUCUUUUCGAGCAGCGGGAGUGUUUUAUAAAUGGAAUUUGCAGACCGGCAACACUCCCAUUAAUUUUCCCUGUCUACAGUUACUAUCAUUACAUUCUUAAAGCACUUUUAAAAUAAACUACUCCAUGAUGUCAUGUGCACACUCUGGGCUCCAGCGAGCGGACGAGGGACCGCAGCAUCUGGACCCGGGGUCGCUAUCUUCUAGGGAACAUCUUGAUGGCUAUAAUUACUGUCAUGUUAUGGGAACUUAAGAAAAAAAGGCGCCAGAGUUCCAAAUAAAACAUAAAAUGGCUUUGAUUUAAUAAAUGUUACUAUCAUUGUUUAAAAAUGUUGUGACCCGUCUGCUAGUUUCUGAGAAAGAUAUUUUCCAGCCCUUGAAAUGUUCCCUCCUCCCUCUUUCAUAUUCUAUUACUGCAGAUAAGGAUGAAGAAAAUCCUCGGGACAGACUUGCUUUAAAUCAACGUAACACAAUGCCAGCAUUGUCUCCCUUCAAGAUGAACUUUCAAAUUAAAUUUGGCGUGAGCUUUGCCAGAGCCCUGAGCAGCUCCGCUCCUGCGCCGCUGUACCCACCAUGUUGGGGAGAGAUAAUAACUCGCGCAUUGUGCUUGUGGUUAAUUGCAGUCAGUAUGGUGAGGCAGGAGCCGAAGCUUUUGCUGUGGGACACACCCACGCCCGCACCCACUGUACCCACGGCCGAGGUGUUAGGAAGAGCUUGGGCCACUCCAGAGCAAGUGGAAAGGGACAGAAUGAAUACUCAUGUGGAACAGAUAUUUUGGAAGGGCCCACAACAAAUCUGGACCCCCACAGUGGACCAGUUGCUGGAAGAAAUCAUCCAUGGUGGUAUUCACUCGGUUUCCCCAGGAAGUUUUACUAUGCAAAAUUCAUUCAGCCUUGAGAAAGCUAAGUUCUUGUUUCACAAGGGGUCUUCACAACUUUAAGGAAGGCACCGUGCCUCACUGAGGCAAUCGGCUGGCUGUGACGACAGGCUGCGCACAGAGCACAGCGGGUAACCUGCUCUGUGGAUGGUGUACACCUCUGCUGGUUUGCUGGUCGGGUCUUUCGAUUUGAGGAUGGACCCUAAGAUGCAGGAGUUGGGACUUAACUAGGAAAAAGUUAUCGGAACCGAUCUAGAUCUCAUUCUAUUCUGUGUUUAUGGAGUGAUCGUGUCACAUGUGUCACAUCAGUGGACACGCUCCAUGGUCUCCAGGAUAGUGAAUUCUUUUUAUUUCAGGGAGACACCAUGUUCCCCUUUUUCUCAGAGUUUUGCUCAUGUGCCCUGUGUAACUGAUCAACAGUAACUUGGAGUUAAAAGAAGCAAUGGUUCAGCCUCCGGCCGCCUUCUUCACAGUCAGCACCAGCCAGCUGCUAAGAAGAAGCCUGUGAGAACACCCAGGCCAGGCCAGGUGGGAGCUGACUGACCUCGUAAACCAUCUCACUCAGUCCAGGCAGAGGCCUUGUGGUCACGGGCAUGCUGGACCUUCUGUCAGUGCAUUUUGCCAGUGUCCGUUUUGCUCAGCCUGCUCCCCUGAACAUCUUCCAUUCACAAGACACUUCCUCAGGUCUGUUCCUCCUCAGAAGCUAGACUGAAUUAUUGCUCUGCACAACAUCAGGUGGAAGGAACUGGAAGGUUGGCAUGAAGGGAGAGGAGAAGUCAAUUGAUGGCGGGCAAUUUGGUUGUUACCCGAAAGCCAAAGUCAGGUUCUAAUUCUGCCACUUUUUCAUCUCUGGGUAACAACUCCCAGUACCUACAACUUAAGUAGGAGGAGAAGAUAUUUCGGCUCAUGUUUCAGUCCAUGGUUGGCUGGAUCCAAAGAAAGAACAGUAUGGCUGAGAUGCACAGCAGAGGAAGAAGUUGCUCAAGUCAUGGAGCAAAGAUGGAAGGACAGGGAGUGAGUGUAGCCUUCUGGGUCAUAGGUCAGGCGGAGGGAGAUGUACCCUUCCAGCUUAUACCUCGCAGUGGCCUGACUGUUUAGACCAGGCCCCACCACCCACCAGCGAGUCAGCUAUAGUACCCCGAUAGUCCAGUCACCUCCUAACAGCCAAGCCUGUGAGCAAAUGAGGCUCUUGGGAGACACCUCGACAGAAACCAUGUUUGAAACUGCUCAGUUUCUUAUGAAGACCCAUACUACGCUUCUUUCUUUUAGAAAAUGGCUCCACCGUUGUGGGGGCUCUUUCUGUCUCUUUAUUGUCUCAAUAGAGCUCCUCAGUGUUGGCUACCCAAUAAAAAGUAGUGGUUGUAAUC